UAAACUUAGUAAAAUAAAUACUUACAAAGACAGAGUAUAUUCGUUUUAAGUUUGUGAAUAUUUAUUAGACCAGCAGGUGCAGCAGUAAUGUGGAGAUAUAAGCUAACGUUAUGCUGUUACAAAUUGUGCUAGUUAUAUCAACUGUUAAUGAUAUAAUAGUUUAUUAAUAAACGCCAAGAAUGUGUGUAGUACUGUGUAUUAAACGUCUUUUGUAGCCGAAUCAGUUUUUAAAGCGCAACUGUACACGUGGUAAUGUGCCCCUAUUUAAGCUACGUGCCUCAAAUAUUAAGCAGGUAAUAUGGACCCACAAUAGAUUCAUUUGCUGAUAGGGGAAAACUGUCAAUUUGGAUAGAGUUAUUUGUUUUAAAGGAUUUUGUACAGUAGUAAGAUUCAAAGAUUCUUCUUUCCCGUUCCUUAUGACGUCACAAUCAAUGUCUAUCCCACGUUUAUUCUUAAAGGGCGUGAACCUUUCUUACUGUGAACCGGUGUCAGAGAUGUGUUGUACAAGGGUGGAGGAGGGGACUUUAUUUAGAGGUUCCAGUUCCCAUAAGCAGCUUGGGAAAGAUCUGGGUGCUGAUUUGAAAUGCUUAAUCUGAUCAAGACUUGUUGGUAUAUUUGCUGCCCUCUCAAUAACACCCUCACCCUCUGUUCUAUAAAUCUGCCCACUAGCUCUUGCUUUUUUAUGCAAAGUAUUUAAACCCUAUUGUUUUUGCAUAUUAGCUUUUAAAAUGUAUUGGGCCAUUUGACUUGUCAAGGUGCACCUAUCUUGCAGUGUACACCGGUCAUCACUGAAACACUGUGCGAGAAUGAAACAGACCUCAAGAGUGACAAUAAUCGAAACAGUACAGUAUAAGACAAUGUUGAACAUCGCACCUGCGCCACUAAUGUUUAUUCUUCUAAUUGUAUGCAAGGUUCGGUUUCCUGGUCACUAUAUAUGGGACAUGAUCACUGAAACUGGAAAUCUCGACAGUAAUCUUUUUAAUCUUUAUGAUCUUUGCGCUAAAGAGAAACAGAUCCCACCACCAAGCCUGUAAUCAGAUCCCCUUCUUCAUUUCCUGUCGGUAGCCAGACCGACAACAGCCUGCUCUUAACACUACUGGUCCUUGGAUUGAUUGAUGGUAUAUUUGUCUCGUGGGGUGUUUCUUAUGAGUGAGGGGGAUGGGGCUUGUGGAAAUGAAGACCCCAUAUGUCACUGUAUCGCACAAAGAAAGCUGACCUGAAAACUGCCCUCCACCCCCAUCCCACAUAACAACUGCACGCACAACAGCGCAUCACAAGCCCCAUUUAACAGAACCAUUAGUCAACACGGCUCUAUCAAACCUUAAUAAAAAGCCAAGAUUAAGGUC